GAACACAUCUUUGCUGCCGUCAGCCGGAGUAAUGAAGCCAAAACCUUUGGAUUCGUUGAACCACUUAACUUGACCUUUAAUCUUU
rnacentral:tRNA from 1 species